ACUGAGUAUAAGAAAGUGAAAUGCAACCCGUAUCCUAGCUGCUAAAGUAGAGUAGAUAUAAAACAAAAAAACUCAUAGGGACUUCGUCUUCACUUACAAAACUUGGGUAAGCCAUAAUAAGCUUGUGUAGGGUAUUUGGAGUCCAAUAUGACAAGAUUGGUGUGUAUGACUAAGCAUAAGAAAGUGAAAUGCAACCCGUAUCCUGGCUGCUAAAGUAGAGUAGAUAUAAAACAAAAAAAAAUUCAUAGGGACUUCGUCUUCACUUACAACACUUGGGAAAGCCAUAAUAA
rnacentral:lncRNA from 1 species